UGCGAAGGUGGAUCGAGAGGUCUGCUGGAGGUAUCACAAGUGCGAAUGCUGACAUGAGUAACGAUAAGAGGGGUGAAAAACCCCUCCGCCGGAAGAUCAAGGUUUCCUGUCCAACGCUAAUCGGGACAGGGUGAGACGGCCCCUAAGGCGAGGCGGAGACGCGUAGUCGAUGGGAAGCAGGUUAAUAUUCCUGCGCCGCUCUUUACUGCGAUGGGGGGACGGAGAAGGCUAGGCCAGCGUGGCGAUGGUUGUCCACGUGAGAGACUGUAGGCUGGUUGCUUAGGAAAAUCCGGGCGACUAAGGCUGAGGGUCAGGACGAGCACAAAGGGAGACCUGCGUGUGGAGUGGUUGAUGCCCUGCUUCCAGGAAAAGCCUCUAAGCUUCAGGUAGAGAGUGACCGUACUGUAAACCGACACAGGUGAUCAGGUAGAGAAUACCAAGGCGCUUGAAAGAACGAUGUUGAAG
rnacentral:rRNA from 1 species